rnacentral:ncRNA from 1 species
GUGAGCCGUAUGAUGGGCAACUAUCUCCUGCGGUUCGGGUCUUAGCGUUGAGUUGAAACCUGAAAACAAUAUUCAACUCCAU